rnacentral:rRNA from 1 species
CAGUAGCCACGGUAAUACGUAGGGUGCAAGCGUUAUCCGGAAUUAUUGGGCGUAAAGAGCUCGUAGGCGGUUUGUCGCGUCUGCUGUGAAAACUGGAGGCUCAACCUCCAGCCUGCAGUGGGUACGGGCAGACUAGAGUGCGGUAGGGGAGAUUGGAAUUCCUGGUGUAGCGGUGGAAUGCGCAGAUAUCAGGAGGAACACCGAUGGCGAAGGCAGAUCCCUGGGCCGUAACUGACGCUGAGGAGCGAAAGCGUGGGGAGCGAACAGGAUUAGAUACCCCUGUAGUCCCUGUCUCUUAUAC